rnacentral:rRNA from 1 species
AGUGAACGCUGGCGGUAGGCCUAACACAUGCAAGUCGAACGGCAGCACAGUAAGAGCUUGCUCUUACGGGUGGCGAGUGGCGGACGGGUGAGGAAUACAUCGGAAUCUACUUUUUCGUGGGGGAUAACGUAGGGAAACUUACGCUAAUACCGCAUACGACCUACGGGUGAAAGCAGGGGAUCUUCGGACCUUGCGCGAUUGAAUGAGCCGAUGUCGGAUAGCUAGUUGGCGGGGUAAAGGCCCACCAAGGCGACGAUCCGUAGCUGGUCUGAGAGGAUGAUCAGCCACACUGGAACUGAGACACGGUCCAGACUCCUACGGGAGGCAGCAGUAGGGAAUAUUGGACAAUGGGCGCAAGCCUGAUCCAGCCAUACCGCGUGGGUGAAGAAGGCCUUCGGGUUGUAAAGCCCUUUUGUUGGGAAAGAAAAGCAGCAGGUUAAUACCCCGCUGUUCUGACGGUACCCAAAGAAUAAGCACCGGCUAACUUCGUG